rnacentral:rRNA from 1 species
GAUGAACGCUAGCGGCAGGCCUAAUACAUGCAAGUCGAGGGGUAGAAGAGGCUUGCUUCUUUGAGACCGGCGCACGGGUGCGUAACGCGUAUGCAACCUACCUUCAUCUGGGGGAUAGCCCGGAGAAAUCCGGAUUAAUACCGCAUAAUAUCACAGGAUGGCAUUAUCCAAUGAUCAAACAUUUAUGGGAUGGAGAUGGGCAUGCGUGUCAUUAGCUAGUUGGCGGGGUAACGGCCCACCAAGGCGACGAUGACUAGGGGAUCUGAGAGGAUGGCCCCCCACACUGGUACUGAGACACGGACCAGACUCCUACGGGAGGCAGCAGUAAGGAAUAUUGGUCAAUGGAGGCAACUCUGAACCAGCCAUGCCGCGUGCAGGAAGACUGCCCUAUGGGUUGUAAACUGCUUUUAUUCGGGAAUAAACCUUACUACGUGUAAUAAGCUGAAUGUACCGAAGGAAUAAGGAUCGGCUAACUCCGUGCCAGCCGCCGCAGUAA